rnacentral:rRNA from 1 species
UGCUAGUCAUUGCGUGUGAUCGAACUAUUAGUAGUGAAUAAGGUAGUUGUUUAAACAUAGUUGAAACACCUUUUUACGUUUAUCACAUUGCUGGGGACAAUACUGUCCUCCACUUUGUUUAUUUUAUUCUUAUGUUUAAUUUUUAUAUAAAUAAAAAAGCUGUAUAAGAAAAAAUUAAAUAAAAUGACUUUAUUUUUAUAAGACCAAUUAGUGUAAAUUAUUCAAUAAUGGUUUUAAUAAUAUUAUUACUAUUAUUGCCUGAGAAUUGUUAAAUGAAUUAAUCAUUCAAUUAAUAAAUUCUAUAAGCUUGCGGGGUAGUGUGAUAUUUUCACAAAUACAUAGAAAGUUAAUUCACUAAGUGUUUAUAAAAGAGAACAACGGCUAGGUGGCAGUUUAUGCGGGGCACAGAUCCCAUAAAGAGUAGCUGGGUAUAUCCUAAUUCUGAAAAAUUAAGGGAAAAAAUUUUUUUUUCUUUUAGUUUUUAUUUAAUAUAUAAAUUUUAUAUAAAUUUAAGAUAUGAUUUCUUAAGACGAAUUUAUAUAUAAGCGAAUAUGAUAUAUUACUUAUUCCUAUAUGUAUUUAAUCACUAUCUUUUUAUUUAAAGUAAAAUCUAAAAAUUUAAUGCAAGUAAGAUUUUAACUAUAUUGACAAUAGCUGUAAUAAAUAAAAUUAACAUUUUUAGGAGAUGUAAUAUGUAUUUAAAGUUGCUAAAAUCCAAUAUACCAAUAUUGUGAAUAGUGAUUUUGAUAAUUACUUGUCAAGUUUAAUGGCAUAAUCUUGCUUAACUGUUUGACCUACACGUCUAUCAGUCGUGUAAGCGGGGCUGUAUGAUCACGAAAUGUAUAUGAUG